UUAUUCUCAAGGCCUUCUGCUGACUGCUGCUCUUGACACGAGACGACUUCCUGGGCCAGGUGGACGUGCCCCUUAGUCACCUUCCGACAGAAGAUCCAACCAUGGAGCGACCCUAUACAUUUAAGGACUUUCUCCUCAGACCAAGAAGUCAUAAGUCUCGAGUUAAGGGAUUUUUGCGAUUGAAAAUGGCCUAUAUGCCAAAAAAUGGAGGUCAAGAUGAAGAAAACAGUGACCAGAGGGAUGACAUGGAGCAUGGAUGGGAAGUUGUUGACUCAAAUGACUCGGCUUCUCAGCACCAAGAGGAACUUCCUCCUCCUCCUCUGCCUCCCGGGUGGGAAGAAAAAGUGGACAAUUUAGGCCGAACUUACUAUGUCAACCACAACAACCGGACCACUCAGUGGCACCGACCAAGCCUGAUGGACGUGUCCUCGGAGUCGGACAAUAACAUCAGACAGAUCAACCAGGAGGCAGCACACCGGCGCUUCCGCUCCCGCAGGCACAUCAGCGAAGACUUGGAGCCCGAGCCCUCGGAGGGCGGAGAUGUCCCUGAG
rnacentral:sRNA from 1 species